UUACAAUCGGAGUACCAUCAGAGGAGGAUGGAUUACGUGAAAUCAACGCUGGAUUCUUGGAUGAAGGGGCCAUUGAGGGCCAGACCCCAUCUCCGCAGUAAAUUUGCUGCAUCCCUCUGGCCCCUCACUGCCUUCUUUAUGCCCAGUGAAGGCUCCUUAUAUGCCACAAAGGCAUAUCAAGCCUCAUUCAGCAGGAUGAGUGCUCCCUCCUGGGCCUCUUUAAGAAAUGACCUUCCUUUUCCU